rnacentral:lncRNA from 1 species
UUGGCUGAGAAAAUUGGAGGUUAUAAAGGUAAGUAAAAAGAUUUAAGAGCUCAUGAAACAUGAUUUUUCCAUUACCUAUCACGGUCUAUAAAAACCAUGUGAAUACUGAAAUAAAUAAUUCCUUUCUAGUAAUAAAUACGAAAAGGAGGUUUUGUACUUAAAAUGGAUAAAAAUCCAUGGAUUCACCCAGCAACUUUAUCCUUCAAAGUCUUGAAACAGAGUGCAUUAAAGCUCUAAUAACAAAUUAACAACAGCACCCGAGCAUAGUCACUGAUAUAUACAACAGUAUACGUAUAUUUGCAGUAAUAAUUCUAAUUUUCAAGUUUCUCCAUAUUAAAAACAGAUUUUACUAAAGAGUAAACAAACACCAUUAAUAUAAAUAUACAACUAUGAAAAUUAAUCCAUGAACCGACAAGUUCAGAAAGUAAGCGUUUAUUCCAAAUCCCAAACAUUUGAACAGUAAAAUUAGGGGAAAACAAAAAAAGGAUAAAAAAAAAACUGGUAAAUAUAGGAAUUAAAUAAAAAUUAAAGGGAUAGACCUCAGCCAUGGCCCGAACUGAAAAGGGGAUAGAGCUCGUUCUGCUCGCCAAACGCGAAGACGACAGGCGGAACGAACCACCAGAGAAAGAGUUAGACGACGAAAACGAAGAAAUUGCAGAUUUGCGAAGAUUCACAGGCGCGAAGGAACAAACAGGACUCGCAGCUUUCGCGCGUGGGAAACUCCUUGGCGCUGAAAUUGAGCUCAUAUUCGACUGAAAGAGAGAAAUGAAAGCAGACAUUCAACGAGAAAGUAAAAAAGUGAAAUGCGAAUUCGUAGCUGAUUAGUAACGAGAAAUAAAUGGAAACACAAUUAAAAAAAAUUAGGGUUUGGGGUGGGUGGAGUUACCAGAGAUGCAUAGGAAACCGCCAUUGCCGGUGAUUUUCUCUCUCUAGGUCACUGUGUACAGAGAGGGGGUUUCUGUGUGUUGUGUGGAGAAGAGAGGAUAAU